rnacentral:lncRNA from 1 species
ACCCAGAAAACAACACAUUUACACUGCUGUAUGGACACCACCAAUAUAGCCAGACCCUGUUUCUACAAAAUAUUGAAAACUUAACCUGGUGUGGUGGCUCACGCCUGUAGUUCCAAAAAAUUUUUACUGGCUGGUGCGGUGACUCACGCCUGUAAUCCCAGCAAUUUGGGAGGCCAAGGUGGGUGGAUCACCCGAGGUCAGUAGUU